AUUGAACGCUGGCGGUAUGCUUAACACAUGCAAGUCGAACGGCAGCACGAGAGAGUUUACUCUUUUGGUGGCGAGUGGCGGACGGGUGAGUAAUACAUAGGAAUCUGCCUUAUAGUUUGGGAUAACUACUCGAAAGAGUGGCUAAUACCGGAUGUGGACUACGGUUUAAAGCAGGGGAUCUUCGGACCUUGCGCUAUAAGAUUAGCCUGUGCAAGAUUAGCUAGUUGGUGAGGUAAAGGAUCACCAAGGCGACGAUCUUUAGCUGGUCUGAGAGGAUGAUCAGCCACACUGGGACUGAGACACGGCCCAGACUCCUACGGGAGGCAGCAGUGGGGAAUAUUGGACAAUGGGCGGAAGCCUGAUCCAGCAAUACCGCGUGUGUGAAGAAGGCCUUCGGGUUGUAAAGCACUUUUGUCAGGGAGAAUGGUAGUAGAGGUUAAUACCCUUUGCUAUUGAUGUUACCUGAAGAAUAAGCACCGGCUAACUCCGUGCCAGCCGCCGCCGUAA
rnacentral:rRNA from 1 species